rnacentral:rRNA from 1 species
UACAGAGGUCCCGAGCGUUGUUCGGAUUCAUUGGGCGUAAAGGGUGCGUAGGCGGCGGGGAAAGUCUGAUGUGAAAUCCUGGGGCUCAACCCUGGAACUGCAUUGGAUACUUCCUUGCUAGAGUACUGGAGAGGAAACUGGAAUUUACGGUGUAGCAGUGAAAUGCGUAGAUAUCGUGAGGAAGACCAGUGGCGAAGGCGGGUCUCUGGACAGUUCCUGACGCUGAGGCGCGAAGGCCAGGGGAGCAAACGGG